UCCAGAACCUUGUAUUCCAUCAGACUCAUUUCACCCUAUCACCGUCAAUCGCGCCAACCUCCUUGGUUUGAUCAAGAAUGCGGCAAACUUAAGUCCGAAAAAUACAGACUUUUAAAC